CCGUGGCGUGGCGCACGGGUCAGUUGCGGUCGCGUUGAGGAAGGUUGAAUCGGGCGCAAGCCGCACGCGCCGGUGGCCUCAGCACCGCGGUUUCGAACGUUCGGUGACCGCGUGCAGCUCGUGUCGACACCUCGUCCCCCGUGCCGCCGCCUGCACCCUCCCCUGCCUCCGCUCCUGCGUGCACCCUAAUUCUCUUUAAAAAGGCCAAUUUGAUUUUAUCGUGUCACUAACACCCCUAGAGGGAAAGCCAUUUUCUAUAGAUCAUUUAAUAGGUUAGAAUACAUGCACUAACCUGCCUCAAUUAGAAAAUGUAGCCGAAAUCAAUUUAUCGUGUCAUCGCGUGACAAUAUAAUUAAGUAUUUUAAUCUUAACUUACACCUUUAAUUUCGUACGUUCUACUUUAAAUUUUAAAGGUACUAUAAAUUGUUGCAGAAAAAAUAAGAAUAAAUACUGAAAUUAGAUAUUAAAUAUAUACAUAUGUCAAAGGAAUAAAUAGUAAAAAUAAUCAGUAGAUAAAUCCUAAUCUGUAAGUACGUUAUCUGACCAACACAAAGAUCGGACGAGUUGAAGUAAGUAGUUAUUUAUUGUGGUAGAGCAAGCACAUUUUACUCAAUUAUUUUCGUCUUGCAUCUACUUCAAUUUUCUUACUGUUCUAGAAUUUUAGAUAUAAAUAAGUAAAGUCGGUAUUUAUAAACUUAUAAAUUUUAUUAUUUUUACAUUCUUGCAUUUGGCUAUUAUAAAAUAGUUUAACUGUGUAGUAGAGUUUUUAGUACUUAAUUAGUUUGAAUGUAUUUUGUUAGAGAAAAACUAUACUUACUUAAUAACAAAUUACAGAAACAAUUAGGAAGAUACCCUGUAAUAACUUAUAAAUCUUCUAUGUAUAAGCUGUUGGUUUUCUGAAUAAAUAAAUUAAACAAUA